rnacentral:SRP_RNA from 15 species
CUUCGUCCGCCCUUCUCGAGAGGGUUUGGAGGAGGCCUCAAAGAAGAUAGCACCAUACCUUGUGGACAAGCAACUUGUGAGCUUGGCACCACAGAGCCUCAGCGAUGAUCAGCCACUCCCAGUUCGGG